rnacentral:rRNA from 1 species
CGUUAGCGGCGGACGGGUGAGUAACACGUGGGUAACCUACCUAUAAGACUGGGACAACUUCGGGAAACCGGAGCUAAUACCGGAUAAGAUAUCGAACCGCAUGGUUCGAUAGUGAAAGAUGGUUUUGCUAUCACUUAUAGAUGGACCCGCGCCGUAUUAGCUAGUUGGUGAGGUAACGGCUCACCAAGGCAACGAUACGUAGCCGACCUGAGAGGGUGAUCGGCCACACUGGAACUGAGACACGGUCCAGACUCCGUACGGGAGGCAGCAGGA